rnacentral:misc_RNA from 1 species
GAUGAAGAACGCAGUGAAUUGCGAUAAGUAAUGUGAAUUGCAGAAUUCAGUGAAUCAUCGAAUCUUUGAACGCACAUUGCGCCCGCUAGUAUUCUGGCGGGCAUGCCUGUCCGAGCGUCAUUUCAACCCUCAAGCCCCCGGGCUUGGUGUUGGGGAUCGGCGAGCCUCCGCGCCCGCCGUCCCCUAAAUCUAGUGGCGGUCUCGCUGUAGCUUCCUCUGCGUAGUAGCACACCUCGCACUGGGAAACAGCGCGGCCACGCCGUUAAACCCCCAACUUCUGAACGUUUGACCUCGGAUCAGGUAGGAAUACCCGCUGAACUUAAGCAUAUCAAUAAGCGGAGGA